rnacentral:snRNA from 1 species
GGAUGCGAGGGGCGAUCUGGCUGCGACAUCUGUCACCCCAUUGAUCGCCAGGGUUGAUUUGGCUGAUCUGGCUGUCUAGGCAGGUGUCCCUUCCUUCCUCAACAAUCCAUGUGCGUCCCUCCCGAUGCUGCACGCUCGGUCAAAGAGGACAACCACCCUCGAUAGAGGAGGACUGUUCUAAGGUCAAGAGUAUAGGAGUAGCUGCCCUCCCCUGCUAGAACCUCCAAACAAGCUCUCAAGGUCCAAGUAUUAGACCAUGCCAAAUUUCAGAACCUUUACUUUCUAUAUGUAAAAGUAUACGUUGAUUUUUCUUAAAAAGCCAGCCAUUU